UCCCUUGAACUUCUCCCCCUGCUAAUCCAUUAUGAUGUUUAUUUUUUCAAAGACCAAUGUUUAUUAGACACCAACUAUGUAUAAGGUCAUUCCCCCUUUCUCCUCACACCAACAUAGGAAUGGUGAAGUAGGUAUAAUUAUCCUUAUAUUAUAGUUGAAGAAAUGGAGAUGAAGACGCUCUCGAUUUUGCGAAUGGAGUGAAAGAAGGAAGUGGGGGUUGGAAGAGUGACUGAAGAUGAAGCUGGAAAGGUAGAACCUGAUCAUGAAGAGUUUCUGUACCAUGGCCAAGAGUUUGAAUCUGACUCCAAGAGCAAGGGAGCCAGAGGAAGCCUGCAGGCAAAAGUGACAUGAUGGCAUUUAUGUGUUGGAAAGAUAACUGGUGGCAACAAAGACAGUGGAGAAGGUCUGUGA